rnacentral:rRNA from 1 species
CUAGUACGAGAGGACCGGGAAGGACGCACCUCUGGUGUACCAGUUAUCGUGCCUAUGGUAAACGCUGGGUAGCCAAGUGCGGAGAGGAUAACUGCUGAAAGCAUAUAAGUAGUAAGCCCACCCCAAGAUGAGUGCUCUCUCCUCCGACUUCCCUAGAGCCUCCGGUAUCACAGCCGAGACAGCGACGGGUUCUCCACCCAU